rnacentral:rRNA from 1 species
GACGUAGGGGGCGAGCGUUGUCCGGAGUUAUUGGGCGUAAAGAGCGCGUAGGCGGCCCGUUAAGUCGGAUGUGAAAACCCGUGGCUCAACCACGGGCCUGCAUCCGAUACUGGCGGGCUCGAGGCAGGCAGGGGAGAUCGGAAUUCCUGGUGUAGCGGUGAAAUGCGCAGAUAUCAGGAGGAACACCGGUGGCGAAGGCGGAUCUCUGGGCCUGUCCUGACGCUCAGGCGCGAAAGCUAGGGGAGCAAACAGG